rnacentral:rRNA from 1 species
AACGAACGCUGGCGGCAUGCCUAACACAUGCAAGUCGAACGAGACCUUCGGGUCUAGUGGCGCACGGGUGCGUAACGCGUGGGAACCUGCCCUUAGGUUCGGAAUAACUCCCCGAAAGGGGUGCUAAUACCGGAUAAUGUCUUCGGACCAAAGAUUUAUCGCCUUUGGAUGGGCCCGCGUUGGAUUAGCUAGUUGGUAGGGUAAAAGCCUACCAAGGCGACGAUCCAUAGCUGGUCUGAGAGGAUGAUCAGCCACACUGGGACUGAGACACGGCCCAGACGCCUACGGAAGGCAGCAGUGGGGAAUAUGGGACGAUGGGCGAAAGACUGAUCCAGCAAGGCCGCGAGAGUGAUGAAGGCGUUAGGGUUGUAAAGCUCUUUUACCCGGGAUGAUAAUGACAGUACCGGGAGAAUAAGCUCCGGCUAACUCCGU